UACGGAGGGUGCAAGCGUUGUCCGGAUUUAUUGGGUUUAAAGGGUGCGUAGGCGGCCCUGUAAGUCAGUGGUGAAAUACUGCAGCUUAACUGUAGCAUUGCCAUUGAUACUGUAGGGCUUGAGUACAGAUGAGGUAGGCGGAAUUGAUGGUGUAGCGGUGAAAUGCAUAGAUACCAUCAAGAACACCGAUUGCGAAGGCAGCUCGCUGGGACGGUACUGACGCUGAGGCGCGAAAGCGUGGGGAGCGAACAGG
rnacentral:rRNA from 1 species